UUUACUCUUGGGGAGUAAACUCAAGCCCCAAGUCCCUAAUGCCAUUACACGUCCGAAGAUGUCACCCGGGUCACUCCAAACGGUCAUUUUGAGGUGUUUAACCUCAUUGGAGUGUAGUGUUCCAUAUGAUUAGUGAAUGUAUCCCUAAUUGUAUAUAUAUGGACAUUAUUUCAUUUUACAUACGGACCUCAUGAGUAAUCAAUCCCCGAACCAACGUCUAGUAUCCAAAACCGACGCAUUUCCGAGUCCGGUGAGUUCGUACCCCUACCUUUUUCACUGUUUUUCAAUGUUUUUCAGGGGGGGAACACAAGCAAAGUACAAGGGUUUUCUUGUACUCAAAACUUAUUUUCAUGUGUGUGUUUCACAUUUCAUAUGCUUUUAAUAUUGAUAUACACAACUGAUAACUAGUAGAAUACACAGAUCAUUUAAACAUUUAUUUGUGAAAUGGGUUUUAUAAACUGUUAUGUUUUAUAUAUUUCACAAAUGGUUUCCACAUUUUAUCAGUUAAAAACAUGACUUUACAACACAUGAACAAUAUAUUUCGUACACUGUCUUGUCCUCGGUAACAUUCCACAGAGAUACGUGAAUGGAGGAUUAUCCUAUUAUUACUAGUAAAUUUGUUAUUCCGUAUGAUUGGAGACACGUCUUCGGCGAACACUCCACAGAGAUACGCGAGUGGAGGACUACACCCGUAACCAGAAUCUCUGGAAUUUAGAGAGCGUGACUUGAGUGUAUUGAUCUAUACGGGGCUGACUACCCCACACCUGGCUGCUAGCUACAGCCGAACCGAAAUGGUUCAAGGGUGACGAAAGUCAUAAGGAUUGNUGUGGACUACAUUGCCACAAGGUUGUGGACUACUUAUUGCCACAAGUUCAGUCUUUAGUAUGGUUAUGGAACUCGCAACUAGGAUAACAGAGAUUUACUUAUAGUAAUAAUGAACCACUUACUACAUUUUAUAGAUACCCAGGAUUCAGUUUACAUCUUUCACAUCUUUUACAUCUUUUACAUCUUUUACAUAUGAUAACCAACAUUCAGGAAGGUAUGGGACCUUCCUGGGGAAACUUUGUACAUAACCAGGUUUAACAGAAUACAUCUUUCACAUUGAAAACCAACAUACAGGAAAGCAUGGGGCAUUCCUAGGUAUCAUACACAUAACCAGAAAAGUGUAACCAAUUGAAUAACAUUACAAUUUUUUUACAAUAACUAAUUCAGGAAAGUAUGGGACUUUCCUGGAAAUACACGGGUACAUAAAAGGAAUAGAACAAUAAAAUGGAUAAUCUAACUAUACUUUAGUUUUGUGAUACAACAACCAACUUUUAAUAAAAUAUGGGAUUUUCUUAGUGUGUGUUACAUUUUCUGAAACAAAAAGGAAACAUAAACAUUUUCACAAAACAAAACUACUUAUGAACUCACCAGCGUUAUGCUGAUUUUCAAACUGCUUGUGUUCUCAGGUCAACGAUAGUACAGGUACCCGAAGACUUACUUGGUUCAGGAUCGUGUGCGUGCAAGGCUCGUUCAUUUUGUUUAUAUCUAUAUUAUGUAUCACAACUGUAUAAACUGUGUCUUUUGAAACAAAUUGUAAAACUUUUAAUAUGUAAUGUAAUGUUUGUUUCACUUUACUUACUAUGUACAUUGGAUUUGAUACUCAACGUGGAGUCAACCCCGGAAAUGUUUCCGCCUUCGGUUUUCGGGGUGUGACAGAUUGGUAUCAGAGCCCUUGUUUAUAGUGAAUAAAGUAUACCAAACCUUACAUGGUAUAAAACUAUAAACACUAAAGGGCCUAAGUGCUCUGAAAUUAAAAGUAUUUUCAAACUACAAGUAUUUUUAAAAGUAUACAAGUAUACCAAACCGUCGAGAUUCGUAACUAUGAGUAGAACAAAACAUAAGUAAAUGGGUGUUGUGAACUGCGGUUAAACCUGGGCAGUUAUGUAGUCGUGUCUAGGGUCAAUAUAGCCUGGCCAACUGUAUUCAUUCGAGAAACGGCCAACAUGUGCUUGGGAGUGACUGUAGUAUGCGACAUGCCUAAAAUUUACUCUAAUACCACCAACAUCGAGUCUGUAUAGUAGCGAACCAUGAAAUACUAUUGGAGUAUUUCUCGAAUCAUCGUGCGCGUAUAGACCCCUGAUCAUUCCGAUAGCGAUAGUUUAUCUGCUUCAAUAACUCUUUCCUGUUUUAUCGCUUAUUUGGAAUUAAUAUCUGUCAUAUCUCUCGAUUCAAUUCAGAGGACUUAUCAUCCUCUCUCUUUCUUGAUCUUAUUAGAUCAAGAUGUCUCCCAGGAAGAGACCCAACUCCAACAACCCUCCGCCACCUCCUCCUGAAAUCGAUCCCGUGUUAUUUCAAACAGCUGUUACCGCCGCGGUGGCAGCUGCCAUGUCCCAGCUAAACACCGGUGGUUCAGGAGGUAGUAAUCAGAAUCAAGAUGGUAACCAGGAACACCGUAAGGAGGGUUCCUACAAGGACUUCAUGAAUGCGAAGCCUUCUUUCUUCAAUGGCACUGGUGGUGUCAUUUCCUUAUCUCGAAGGUUCGAUAGGAUCGAAUCCUUCUUUGAAAUUUGUGCCUGUGCUGAGUCCGAUAAGGUCAAGUUCGCAGCUUGUACCUUCCUUGAUAAAGCAUUGACUUGGUGGAAUGGCCGAGUCAAAUCCUUAACCCUCCCUGUAGCCAAUGCCAUGAGCUGGGAGGCUAUGAAAGAACUCCUCUUUGUUGAAUAUUGUCCCCGAGGUGAAAUGCAAAAGCUAGAGCACGAGCUCUGGAACCUGAAAAUGAAAGGUUCCGACAUUGCUACCUACACUUCCCGAUUUGAUGAUCUUGCCCUUCUUUGCCCUGGUCUAGUCACCCCUGAAAGCAAAAAGAUCGAGAGGUUUAUUUGGGGGCUAACCAAUCCGACAAAAGGUCAUGUCUUAGCUGCUCGCCCAGAUACUUAUGAUAGUGCUAAGACUUUAGCCCAAGCUAUAAUUCACCACAAUGAUGAUGUUGAGGAAGCCACCACUGCUACCCCUGAGUCGACUAAAAGCAGUGGUGAGAAAAGAAAAUUUUGGAAGAAGAAGAAGGGUCAAUCUUCCCAAGGCUCCUCCAAAAGACAACAAACAGUAGCGGUUCAUGCUGCUACUACCCCCAUAACUGAUGCUUCCGUUGUGGGAUCCACAGCUCCAACUCCUACCAACCGAUAUGUUGGUAACCUCCUUCUUUGUGAAAAAUGCAAGUAUCACCACAAUCAUGGUCCCUGUCGAGAACUAUCCUGUACCAACUGUGGUAAGAAGGGACACACCGUUCGAUACUGCAGAGCUCCGACCCAAUCAGUAAAUCAAUCCUUUGGAACAGGCGUUGGUCAAGCCUAUUAUAACUGUGGUGAAGCCAGACACUUUAAAAGGAACUGCCCCAAGAAGACUAUUGCUGGCAACACUAGAAGGGUCCUUGCUAUGGGACGGGAAGAAGCGAUCGCCGAUCCCAAUGUUGUCUCGGGUACGUUUCUUCUCGACAACUCGUAUGCUAAUAUUCUUUUCGAUUCGGGUGCUGAAAGAAGUUUUAUUAGUCAUGCAUUCAAACAUAACCUAAAACAUGAUUCCCAACCUCUAACCGAAAUAUUUACCGUCGAGAUGGCAAACGGAGAGAAAGAAAGUGCGAGUGAGGUAUUCGUAGAUUGCACUCUUACCUUGAACGACCAUUCAUUUCCUAUCGAUCUUAUGCCCGUAUCCAUAAAGAGCUUUGAUGUCAUCAUUGGCAUGGAUUGGUUGAGUCCCAAUCAUGCAGAUAUCCUUUGCUUCGAAAAAGCCAUCCGUCUCAACCUUCCUUCGGGUCAAACCCUAGUGAUUUAUGGCGAUAAACUCGGUUCCAACCUUCGUAUCAUUUCCUGCAUCAAAGCUCAGAAACUCCUGCGAAAGGAGUGUGUUGCAUUCUUGGCCCAUGUAAUCAACGAGAAACAAGAAGUUAAAGACCUCGCGAGCAUCCCCGAGGUCUGUAAUUUUCCUGAUGUGUUUCCCGAAGAGCUUCCAGGAAUCCCUCCCGAGCGUCAGGUCGAGUUCCAUAUUGACCUAAUUACUGGGGCUACUCCCGUAGCGAAGUCUCCGUAUCGCUUAGCUCCAACAGAGAUGCAGGAGUUAUCCAGUCAACUUAACGAGUUGCUUAACAAAGGAUUCAUUAGACCGAGUUCCUCACCCUGGGGAGCUCCGGUUUGGUUUGUCAAAAAGAAGGAUGGAUCCUUUCGUAUGUGUAUCGACUAUCGCGAGCUGAACAAAUUGACUGUCAAAAACCGAUAUCCUCUUCCACGAAUAGAUGACCUUUUCGAUCAACUCCAGGGAGCCAGUUACUUCUCUAAGAUAGACCUUCGGUCAGGGUACCAUCAGUUGCGAGUUCAUGAAAGUGAUGUGCCCAAAACAGCUUUCAGGACUCGAUAUGGACACUACGAGUUCGUAGUGAUGCCCUUUGGUUUAACCAACGCACCGGCAGUGUUCAUGGAUCUGAUGAACCGGGUGUGUCGUCCUUAUUUGGAUAAGUUUGUCAUAGUAUUCAUCGAUGACAUACUCGUCUAUUCCCGAAGUGAAGAAGACCACAAACAACACUUGAGGCUAGUGUUGGAAACCCUGCGAUCCGAGAAGUUGUACGCGAAGUUUCAAAAUGCGAGUUAUGGAUACGGAAGGUAACUUUCCUUGGUCACGUGGUAAGUGAGGAGGGUAUUCAUGUCGAUCCUUCCAAAAUUAAGGCAAUAGAGAAUUGGUCAGCACCGAAGACACCCACAGAAAUCCGACAAUUCUUGGGUCUCGCUGGCUAUUAUCGAAGAUUCAUCCAAAACGUUUCCAGAAUCUCCAACCCUCUAACCACUCUAACACAGAAAGGUGUACCCUUUUGUUGGGGUGAUAAACAAGAAACCGCAUUUCAGACGCUGAAGAAAGCUUUGUGCAGCGCGCCUGUCCUGUCCCUGCCCGAAGGGACAGAGGACUUUGUUGUAUACUGCGAUGCGUCUACUCAAGGUUUAGGCUGUGUGCUUAUGCAGAGAGGAAAAGUAAUUGCUUAUGCCUCUAGACAGUUGAAAGCACACGAGGUCAACUAUACCACACACGACUUGGAGCUAGGAGCCGUAGUCUUUGCAUUGAAGAUUUGGAGGCAUUACCUCUACGGAACCAAGUGCACGAUAUUCACUGACCAUAAGAGCCUGCAACACAUCAUCGACCAGAAAGACUUGAACAUGAGACAAAGGUGAUGGGUAGAAUUACUCAGUGAUUAUGAGUGUGAAAUUCGUUACCAUCCCGGCAAGGCCAAUGUGGUAGCAGAUGCCCUUAGCCGAAAGGAGAGUACAAGCAACAAGGUGAAGAGCCAGUCGAUAACCAUCCAUUCCAACCUACCCAUGCAAAUCCGAGAAGCUCAGUUAGAAGCCCUGAAACCCGAGAACAUGACAACUGAAGCUUUGAGAGGAAUGGAAAAGAAACUUGAGAUCAGAAGUGACGGAGUCCAUUGUUUUAUGGAUCGAAUCUGGAUUCCCAAGUCCGGAGGAUUUAGAGAAUUAGUCAUGGAGGAAGCACAUAGAACCAGAUACUCUGUUCACCCGGGCUCUGACAAGAUGUACUUAGAUCUCAAGAAACAAUAUUGGUGGCCAAAUAUGAAGGCUGAGAUAGCUUCAUUUGUGGGCAAGUGUCUGACUUGCGCCAAGGUAAAAGUUGAACACCAGAAACCCUCGGGUCUGCUCCAGCAACCUGAGAUACCUGAAUGGAAAUGGGAGAUGAUCACCAUGGAUUUCAUCACCAAACUACCCAAGUGCUCGAGUGGGUAUGAUACCAUUUGGGUGAUUGUAGAUCGUUUGACAAAGUCAACUCACUUUGUUCCAAUCAAAGAAUCAUACAAGAUGGAAAGACUCGCACGAAUUUAUAUUCAGGAGGUAGUCCGACUACACGGGGUACCUGCAUCCAUUAUCUCUGAUCGAGAUAGCAGGUUUACUUCCCGAUUUUGGCAGUCUCUUCAAAAAGCCCUUGGAACCCAACUAGACAUGAGCACGGCAUAUCAUCCUCAGACCGACGGACAAAGUGAGAGAACAAUCCAAACCCUGGAGGACAUGCUUAGGGCAUGUGUCAUUGACUUUGGAAAGUCGUGGGACGCACAUCUACCUUUGAUCGAAUUCUCGUACAACAACAGUUACCACACCAGCAUUAGGGCUGCCCCGUUCGAAGCCCUAUACGGUCGCAAGUGCAGAUCCCCUCUGUGCUGGGCCGAAGUGGGAGAUACACAGUUAGCCAAGAGUCGAGUCCCCGACAGUGCUCUUACUGGUCCUGAGAUCAUCCGUGAAACCACUGAGAAGAUUAUCCAAAUCCGUGAACGACUAAAGGCCUCACACGAUCGCCAAAAGAGUUACGCUGAUAAUCGUCGGAAACCACUAGAAUUCCAGGUUGGAGACCGUGUUCUGUUGAAGGUCUCGCCCUGGAAAGGCACUGUAUGUUUCGGUGAGCGUGGGAAACUUAAUCCGAGGUACAUUGGACCUUUUGAAACCAUCGCCAGAGAUGGUCCGGUAGCCUAUAAGCUUCAUUUACCUCACGAACUCAGCAACAUCCAUCCCGUCUUUCAUGUUUCAAACCUCAAGAAGUUCCUAUCCGAUGAAACCCUAGUAAUUCCGUUAGACGAGAUUGAGAUCGAUGAAAACCUCAACUUCGUGGAGGAACCGAUCGAAAUCAUGGAUCGAGAAGUCAAACGUACGAAACAAAGUCGCAUCCCGUUGGUGAAGGUUCGCUGGAAUGCCAAGCGGGGACCGGAGUUCACUUGGGAACGAGAAGACUCGAUGAAGCAGAAGUAUCCACAACUCUUUCUAGAUCUAUGAUUUGUAUUUUAUCUUUUUUCUUGUCUUGAAUUUCGGGACGAAAUUCCCUCUAACGGGGGGAUAAUGUAACAACCCGAAAUUUCAUAUCACUCUUGUAACUCAACUUGUAAUCCAAUUUGAUCAACCAAACGUCGUUUUCAAAUUAGUUUCCGACUUCGCCAUUUUAUUAAGUCAUUAGCUUAUAUCAAUCUAAAAUGACUUAAUGGGUGUCUUAAUACAUUUAGAAAUCAUUUUAACACCCCACUUUAGUAAUCGGAAUAAUUAUAGAAUCAACCAUAUCGAGUCACGACAAUUUGGUCGGGUAUGACCAAAAGUCCCACUUAACGUCGGUAUCGGGUAGAAUUCCGUCGUGUCCAAUUCCCGAACACUAUAUAAAGUAUUUUAAGACUUCAUUUGAAGCCUUUGGCCAAUUUCUCACUAAACUCUCACAACCUCUCUCCUCAAGCUAGAAUUAAGGUCCAAAUCUCAAAUUUAAGGCCUCAAAUCUCUAAGGUACUUUCCCUAGCUUGUAUUGUAACCUUCUUAGCCUUCAAAUUCGAGUUCAAAGCAUGGAUUAAGACCACAUUCAUGAGUUUAUGGCCAUGGAGCCUUCAUGGGCCGUAAACUCAUAUAACAUGGGUUUUUAAGCCCUAAAUCCCCUCCAAAGCAAUCUUUGGACUUUAGGUAUGGCUUAAUGACUUCAUGGACAUGACUUAUAACAUUUAAAUCAUGGAUUUUGAGCCAUUUGAAGGACUUUACGGCCAAGGCAUAAGCUUGGGCCGUAAACUCAUGUAAAUGGGGUUUUCAUGAACUUAAACCCUUCCAAAUCAUAGUUGGGACUUAGCUAUGACCUUAAGGCUUGCUAAUCUAGACUUGGAACACUUUAAACAUGAUUUUUGGGGGAUAAAAGUGAGUUUACGGCCAAGACAUAUUCUUGGGCCGUAAACUCCUCUUAAAUGGAGAUUUAGUGCCUUAAAACAUGUCAAAAUGCUUUGAAACUCAACCAAUGGCCUUGUGGUAAAAUCCAGAUGCAUCUCAAAAUAGUUUAAGGGUUUGUAACACAUCAAAAUGUCAUUUAUAGGUGUUUAUGGCCUAGGAACAUACCCUUGGCCGUAAACUCAUAAAACUUGUUAAAGGAUGCAUCAAAUUCACUCAAAUGGCUUGUAUAAAAUUCUAGAAUCACAUGUGAUUGUUUUUAAGCAUCAAAAACUAACUUCUCAUGAGUAUAAGAGAGUUUACGGCCAUAGAACAUGCCUCUAGGCCGUAAACUCCCAAAAGUAUGUUUAAUGGUGUUUUAAAUUCAUAACAAGGCUUGGAAAAUUAACUAGAAUCACGUGUGAUUGUCCUUUGUAAUUUAAAACCAUUUUUCUUGGCCAUAGGUGAGUUUACGGCUGUAAACUCCAAGGUGGUGGCCGUAAACUCCCUUCUUUGUGGUAUAAUUACAUUUAAUUCAUUCAAAGGCAUUUUAGCAAUCCAUUCCAACAAUCCCCAUGUCCAUUUAAGCCAUUAAACACCCAAAAAUCACACCAACAUGAGUUUACGGCCGUAAACUCAUGUGUGGAUGUGUUAUGUGGCUGUAAACUCCUUAAAAUGUUUACUCUUGGGGAGUAAACUCAAGUCCCAAGUCCCUAGUGCCAUUACACGUCCGAAGAUGUCACCCGGGUCACUCCAAACGGUCAUUUUGGAGGUGUUUAACCUUGUUGGAGUGUAAUGUUCCAUAUGAUUAGUGAAUGUAUCCCUAAUUGUAUAUAUAUGGACAUUAUUUCAUUUUACAUAGGGACCUCGCGAGUAAUCAAACCCCGAACCAACGUCUAGUAUCCAAAACCGACGCAUUUCCGAGUCCGGUGAGUUCAUACCCCUACCUUUUUCACUGUUUUUCAAUGUUUUUCAGGGGGGGGAACACAAGCAAAGUACAAGGGUUUUCUUGUACUCAAAAAUUAUUUUCAUGUGUGUGUUUCACAUUUCAUAUGCUUUUAAUAUUGAUAUACACAACUGAUAACUAGUAGAAUACACAUAUCAUUUAAACAUUUAUUUGUGAAAUGGGUUUUAUAAACUGUUAUGUUUUAUAUAUUUCACAAAUGGUUUCCACACUUUAUCAGUUAAAAGCAUGACUUUAUAACACAUGAACAAUAUAUUUCGUACACUGUCUUGUCCUCGGUAACAUUCCACAGAGAUACGCGAAUGGAGGAUUAUCCUAUUAUUACUAGUAAAUUUGUUAUUCCGUAUGAUUGGAGACACGUCCUCGGCGAACACUCCACAGAGAUACGCGAGUGGAGGACUACACCCGUAACCAGAAUCUCUGGAAUUUAGAGAGCGUGACUUGAGUGUAUAGAUCUAUACGGGGCUGACUACCCCACACCUGGCUGCUAGCUACAGCCGAACCGAAAUGGUUCAAGGGUGACGAAAGUCAUAAGGAUUGUGGACUACUUAUUGCCACAAGGCUGUGGACUACUUAUUGCCACAGGUUCAGUCUUUAGUAUGGUUAUGGAACUCGCAAC
rnacentral:lncRNA from 1 species